rnacentral:ribozyme from 1 species
UGCCCAGCAACUCCUAUCCCUACCUCCUCGUGGUACUGGCCGGGGUACGAGUAACCUUGGGGAAGAUCGGGUAACCAACCCCCGGUGGGAACUUUGGUCGUAUGCUGACAGGGAAAAAGG